UAAGAUCAUUCGGUUAAUCCGGUACA
rnacentral:piRNA from 1 species